GGGCCAGUGGCGCAACGGAUAACGCGCCUGACUACGGAUCAGGAGAUUCCAGGUUCGAAU
rnacentral:tRNA from 1 species